rnacentral:rRNA from 1 species
AAGGUUAUAUGAUCAAGUAAAGGAAGAGCACAAGGCGGAUGCCUUGGCAGCAGAAGGCGAUGAAGGACGUAGUAACCUGCGAUAAGCUUCGGGGAGCUGGUAAACAGGCUUCGAUCCGAAGAUUU